UUCACAUCUGGCCCCUCAGAGACAAAGAUGAUAUUUUGUCAGCAGUUAAUGGGAGCUGCCCCCUCACUCAGGCAGCUUCAAGGCCAUGUGGUCAGUUCAUAAUUCAGGGCUGGGAAAUUGCUUCUUGCCAGUGUGAAUCUUGGUGUGACUCAAGGAGAAUCUCAUUCUCCAUUUCUCCUCCUACGACUAAUUGCCUGGCAGCAGAGUAGCAGAAAAGAAAGAAGACCCUUCAGAUUUCCAGCACACCGUCCUUGAGAAUCUGCAUGCAGAGGCCACCAGGACAGCUGUCAGACACUGACUUGGGAGCUCAGAGGACAAGAGCAGACGUUGCAGAAUGUUCCUGGGGACACAUCAGGCCAUCUCUUAUCACCUAAAUGUUUCUUUCAUUUGAUACUUAUAACGCAAUGCUGUGGUCAACGAUAUAAUAAAAAUCCCAUCAGAAGCA
rnacentral:lncRNA from 1 species